GGAAGGGGUGUAUUUAUUAGAUAAAAAACCAAUGCCCUUCGGGGCUCCUUGGUGAAUCAUAAUAACUUANCGAAUCGCAUGGCCAUGCGCCGGCGAUGGUUCAUUCAAAUUUCUGCCCUAUCAACUUUCGAUGGUAGGAUAGUGGCCUACCAUGGUGGCAACGGGUAACGGGGAAUUAGGGUUCGAUUCCGGAGAGGGAGCCUGAGAAACGGCUACCACAUCCAAGGAAGGCAGCAGGCGCGCAAAUUACCCAAUCCCGACACGGGGAGGUAGUGACAAUAAAUACUGAUACGGGGCUCUUUUGGGUCUCGUAAUUGGAAUGAGUACAAUCUAAAUCCCUUAACGAGGAACAAUUGGAGGGCAAGUCUGGUGCCAGCAGCCGCGGUAAUUCCAGCUCCAAUAGCGUAUAUUAAAGUUGUUGCAGUUAAAAAGCUCGUAGUUGAACCUUGGGUCUGGCUGGCCGGUCCGCCUCACCGCGAGUACUGGUCCGGCUGGACCUUUCCUUCUGGGGAAUCUCAUGGCCUUCACUGGCUGUGGGGGGAACCAGGACUUUUAC
rnacentral:rRNA from 1 species